AAGCGCUGCGUUCUGCGCUGCCUGCCCAUCAGCUUACCCGGGCUUGUGUUUGCUGGUGGGCGGCCUUGUGUCUGAGCACAGCUCUGUUUUGCUUUGAAAAGGGCAGGACCGCAGGUGUCAGGAAGUGAGCUGAGACAGGUGGAGACCCACUUCGGUGUGCCUAUUUUUAGAUCGGAUUCUAUUUAGGUGGAAGUGAUAACUUCAAGGUAACUGCCAAGAGAAGAGGAGUCUGUUUGCACGGUAAUUGUGUGUUGCCCAUAAAAGGAGUGAACACCCCCAAAAGUUAAUCCAAGCGCUGAGAGAAAGGAAAUAUCAAACAGGUGACUCAGAGGAACCUUCACAGGGGGCCUGGAAUGCAGAGAUGAUCCCUGGAGCUGCUGUCACGGGCCAGCUACCCACUGCUUCCUUCUCCUCCAGGCUCCUUGGCAGCUUGGGAGUCUGUGUUCCAGCAGGGGACGGGGGUCCCUGCUGUGAAGACUGGGCAAUGCAGGGGACUUCUUAGUACCUGAAGCCAGAAUCUGCUGCUCGGCCACAGCCUCUGACUUUCCAGAUUCUUCAUAUGGGUGCUUUCACCUCUUAGAUCCACGAACUGUCUGUAGCAAUCUCUGACCCCCUAUUCCCCUUUUCCUCUCCUUCUCUCCCUGGCAUGGUCUCCACAGCCAUCUCUCAACUACGUCCUGGCCAAGAUCUUAACCUACUUGUUCCCAGUUGAAGCCCCGCUUCUCCUCGCUGCUAGAAUCUCGGAACUGUGACAGAGCUGUCACCGGGCACAGUGCUACCCACCCCCAUGAAGGGCUGCAUGGGAUGAAUGGUCCAGGACAAGCAAGGAACCUUCACAUUCAUAUUUCCCUUGAUAAGACAAAAAAGUCACAACAGGUCACUGUGAAGAUUGCUUUUGGCUCUGACACCAGGUCACUGAGUCCCAUAAAGUUGAGGUGUAGUGAGAACUUUUACUGAGAGAAAAUACACAGGGCUCCUUGGACCCCAUCGGAAUGGGAUCUUUCCCAUAUGCGAGGUAGAGGGUGAUGAAGAGAUCUCAUCAAUGAGCCCAGGAGGUGCACAGACCCAGACCAGUGUUGGGAAAGGAUGCAGAGCCCACUCCCCUGCCGAUGGAAGGGAAUCAGGAGAUCCUGAAUCCUACCAAGCAAGAUGCAGUCCAUAUUUCUGCUUGGGGCUUUCAUUCCAGCAGAGACAAGAUGCUCCAUUCAUCACUCAUUUGUAAAGAAGACUGGUAACAGGAACAACAAGCAGCAGGCUGCAAAGUUGUUACAAGAAUUAAGCUGGCGACGUGUGCGCAGCGUUUUGAAGGAGCCGGGUCCGUGUGCUCAGUAAAGGUUGUCAGAUUCAGCAUUAAGACCAAAAGAUCUGAGGAUGCCAUGCUGGGCUCACCAGAAAAGAAAUCGUGUUCGUGCUGGGCAAGGUCCUAAGGCUCUGGGUGAUGAAAUAAAGGAGGCAGAACCCUGUGGGAACCUGAAAUCAAGAGCGACAACCUAAUUCUUGAAAAUGGGCCAGAGGGCUGGAGAGAUGGCUCAGCAGUUAAAAGCAUAUACCGCUGUUGGAGAGAACCCAGGUUCAGAGUCCAGGAACCACGUCACAGCUUACCACCACCCAUGCCUCUAUUGCCAGGGGGUCCAACACUCUCUUCUGGGCUUGGAGGGUUCUUGCACUCAGCACACACACACGCACACACGCACAUGCACACAAACCAAACCCAGGAACAAUCCAUAUGGCCAUAAAUUGCUGUGUGGCUCAACAAUAUGAUGCUUAUCCACUGAUGGGAUGUCUAUCAGUCAGUCAUAAAAAUGGGUGAAUAUUAAUACAUGCUACAGCUUGGAUGAACCUCAAAAGUAUUAUGCUAAAAAUAACCCAAGCACAAGAGCCCCCAUAUUGUCUGUUUCUAUUUAUAUAAAAUGUCUAGACUAGAUGAUUCCCUAGACUAGGUGAAUCCCUAGAGACGGUGAACAGAUCCAGGGUUUGGGGGGAGGGGGGAGCGCUACAGGAGAGAAAAGAGGGGAAUGACUUGAGAAUGGAGGAUUGUGGGUGAUAAAACAAUAUUCUGGAAUUAGUGAUCACGACCAUGCUUUAUGCUUGCACCAAAAGCUGUUGUGCUGUAGACUUCAAAGUGAUGCAUUUUGCUGUAGAUAAAAAAAAAAAAAAAAAAAAAAAAAAAAUUCGAACAGGAGCUAUAACUUUUGGGGGGCUUCCCAUUGAGAGCCUUGAUCAGAAAUUCUCAUGAAUGGUGUCCUCAGAGCAUCAUCACACAAGGGAUGGCCCAGAACAGGAGCAAUGAAGGUGCUGGGGCCCCCACAGCAGGAGCUGGGACCUCAGCUCCCCAUGACAGCCCCUCCAUACUGCUGUCACCAACCAGAGCUCUGCUGUCUCGUACCCUAAUUCUGCCUUUGCUUGAACUAUCUCCUCCGCUCUUUUAGCAUCAUUUCCCACUGGUGCUCAGAGCCCCCCCCCCCCCCCGCAAUGCUUUGACACCCACAUUCCGGCAGAGUGCCUGCAGUGGCUGGCAUCAGGCUCUGGAGACGUUUCCGUCAGCUGCACUAAGCCAGUGGUACCUAGUGCCUACACAUGCCGUCCAGGGAUGGGGGUGAGGGUGUUGAGGGCCACAGCCUAGGGGAUCCUUCGGUAGGCAGUGAGAUGGGAUCAUUCCUGGUGGCUGCGAUGCUGCUUUGACUGAAUAUCCACUAAGGCUGGGUAGUCAAAGGAAGACACUGGGGACAGGGCAAGAACAGCCUGAGGCUUUCUUCCCCUGGUCCCAUCCUCCCUCAUCAUAUUCUCUGAAAACAGACUGCAUUCCUGAUCAUAGUGACUCAGGAAAACAGGAAUGAAAUAUUCCCAGCUCCCAUAAUGAGGGCUGAGCCCACAGACUAAGUAAGCCUGGGACAGAUUCCUGAGAGUGCCCACGAGGCACUGGGUCCUGGGAAUUAGGAGCUGGGUGUUGGGAAGGGGGGGGGGGAAGGGAAGGUGCAGCUGACUGUCAUGCUGAGAGGUACGAUAAGCAUGCUGACAUGGACACCUGAGAGAAA